AUGUGCAAAACGAAGAAAAGCACAGACGUGAUCGAACCCCAGAAGAACGCGCAUUCCAAAUCUCGCAAAUCCUUCGAGUCUCCCCCCUCUUCGAUCCCAACAGACCCCACCUCCAACAAUUUCUCCAGCAACACCAAAUUCAACACCACUGGUUCCAGCUACAAUAACCACUGGUCCAAGUCUUCCUCCUCAAGCCGAGCCUCUCUAUCGAGCCUCAAGGACUCUCUCCCGGAGAAUCCGCACGUCUACCACUUCUCCGAAAUCCGCGUCGCCACCAACAGCUUCCUCGCCAAGCGAUUCUCCUCAUCUUCCUCGUCCGCCUCGUGGCGUUGCUCUCUGCGCGACAAGGACGCCAUCGUCUUCCAGCGCAAGCUCCGCCGUCCUAUCGAAUUACUGGAGCUACGAGGCCAUGUCUUGACUAUCUGUCGGAGCCACCACAGCAGCAUAAUCAGGCUCCUUGGCGCGUCUUUGUCGGGGAAUUACGUUUACCUCGUGUACGAAUUCGUUGAAGGUGCGAACCUCGCUAGUUGUCUCCGGAAUCCUAAUAACCCUAAUUUCACGGUCCUCUCCACCUGGCUCUCGCGCAUGCAGAUCGCCACGGACCUUGCGCACGGCCUCGAUUACAUCCACCAUUGCACGGGGCUGAACUCCAGCUUCGUUCACAACCACAUCAAGAGCUCCAGCAUUAUCGUAACCGAAGAGUCUCUGAACGCGAAGAUCUGCCACUUCGGCACCGCGGAGUUGUGCGGAGAAAUCACCGAAAACAAUAACUCAGAUUCUGCGAAAUCGAAGAAGUCGGAUAGUCGGGAAAUUAAGUUUGAGGGGACGAGAGGGUACAUGGCACCGGAGUUUCAGUCAACGGGAAUUGCGACGCAGAAGAGCGAUGUGUACGCGUUUGGAGUGGUGGUGUUGGAGCUGUUGUCCGGAGAGGAGGCCCUCAAGUAUAGGUUUCAGGACGAGGGCUCUAGUAUCAAUGACGGUGGGGGUGUUUAUAGGAGGGUGAGCGUGAUCGACACGGCGAGAGAGGCGGUGGCCGGAGGUGGUGGUGGGGAGGUGAGGAGGUGGGUGGAUAGGAGGUUGAGGGACUCGUACCCGGUGGACGUGGCGGAGAAGAUGGUGCUGCUGGUGUUGGAGUGCGUAGAGGAGGAUCCUGACAAGAGGCCCGAUAUGGGUCGGGUUGCAGUUACGGUAUCCAAAUUCUAUAUGGAGUCACAGAAGUGGGCGGAGCAGAUAGGGCUGCCCACGGAAAUCUCGGUUUCGAUGGGCCCCCGAUGACGUUUUGCCACUGAAUUCCAUUUUUGCCCCCGUCCCCGUUGGAGAUGGAGAUUGAGAAUGAGAGGAGCCUGCGGACACUGUACGUUCUGAGUGUAAUCUAUGGCCCAGCUCAAGAUGGGAGGACGGACUAUCAAGAGGAAAGAAUAAGAAGGAACAAAAGGAUGAGAUAGUGUAGACUAUCGGGAUGAAGAGGGACGAAGUGACGUAAGAUAAGAGGGGACUUAAAGCAGAGGUGGAAGAUAAAACUUAGGGGACUUUUUACCAAACAUCUCCUGAAAGGCUUCUUCAACCUCACGAAAAGAGUUGCAGCGACAAGAUCUCCAUUAAAAGAUUCGAAACCUAUUAUACAGUGAGGAUAAGAGAUCAUAAAAAAUCGUAAAAUAGUCUUCUAAUAGUGGAUUUUCUCCUUUUCGAAAUCCCUUGAAUGAUGUCUAAUGCUAAACCACGUAAAUCUGUAUCUCUCUCUUUAUUUUUCCAG